GCCUCCAGGGUGACGUGUCUGCCUAUGGAUAUCAGUUGCCAGAGAAACCUGGCUUUACUAUGGCGGUUGGAGAGACGGCAGUGAUCACACGUCGUCUGUUGGAAAGAACUGGAUCCUCGUUUCAGACUACCAUCAGAAAAACUAAGUUUGCUGUGUAGUGAGGAUCAGCUCUGAUCCUGAUUGCAGAACAUCCCUCAUUACAGAAUCUUGGAAGCAGCGGUUACUACUAGAACUGAAUUCUGAAAUUAUAACUUCUGACUUAUCCUAACACUCUAGAAAGGUUGUGUGUCUCACCUCAUCUCCACGACCAUCCCAGAAGAUCUAUAAGAUUCCAUCUGGGAAAACACUAGGAGUUCUUGGCAGGGAAAGAAGAGGAUUGCUGGUUGGAAUAAAAACAGGGUUGAAUGAGUUCCAGAAAGCAGGGUUCUCAAACUCGUGGACACCAAUCUGCCGAAGAAGACAAUUUCAAAAAACCAACUAGAAGCAACAUGCAAAGAAGUAAAAUGAGAGGGACAUCUGGAAAGAAGACAGCUGGUCCCCAGCAGAAGAAUCUGGAAGCAGCACUCCCNGGG